UGGGAGUUUUACUUACUCAAACAUGUUCUAAGGGCAGAAAGGAAAUGAUUGGUUUACAUAUUCAACCAAUGAAAUUGAAGCAGAGGCGGGGUCAAGCCGUUUGAAAUUUUAGAGGGAACACUUCAAACUGAUGUAACUGGGAGAGCGCAUCUAAUGUGAGGUCGAUAAUGAUUGACCGUGACCUAAACUCGAUGCCAUAAGAAGAGUUUUUCCAACAGCCAAGGUUCUUCUUUGCUGGUUUCAUGUACUCCAGUUACCUGGAUGACCUCACAGAAACUGGACGAAUCAAAGGAGCAAACACUGAAGAGACCACUAAUGCCGCCCAUUCUAUGAUUGCAAAAGGCCUGGGUGCAAAAGUGGAGAUAAAAAAAUGGAGUGUGUUUGGUUCCACCCGACACAAGCACACAAUGUCACAGUGUGGACUUGGUCAUGCACAAAUGCGACUGCAAAAGAUUUCAAUGUGGAUGUGUAUGCAAACACUUAAUUUUUUCACAGAACAUUGCAGAGAAACAAGGACUUAUAAUUCAAGAUCUUACAGCAGAAGUAGCAAAAAAAUUGUUGACAGUGAAUCCUACAUCGGGGUCAAUGAAAACCUUACCGUCUAUCAAUUUGAUGGGAGUGUAGAAACUGUAAGUUGUAAAGGGACCAAAUUUUGGACAUGCAUUGCGAAUAGCCAUGGAGAGGUAUGUGUAUGUAUAUUGUUUCCCAACAUUCUGUACCCAACAUCAUCUGAGAACAUAUCUGAUGAUUCACACUGCUUUAGGUCCAGUGAGAGAAAACCAGUUACACUGCAAGCCAUGCUUACAGAUCUCCAUGAGUGGAGCAAAUCAGAACAUUUUUGUGAGGAUAAUGAAGUGUACAGGUUAGUUAUUUCAGUUUAAUAAACUGUCAAAAAAAGAAAAGCGACUGUACAGAUGCUUUGUAUAAGAACAAAUUGAAGGAACAAAUAUUAAUUUGAAGUAAUCAAGAAAUAAAAAAUAAAAAAACCCACACAAUUCUUUUUAAUAUUUUAUUUUAUUUUAUUUUUUGUACAGCUGAACACUGCACAUCAAGAAACAAGAGUUCGAAACAAUGUGCAAGUAAAUAAAAUAAAGUGGGAAAAACCUUA